GGGACGCCGAGGGGAGGAGGAGGAGGCGGCUCGGAUGGCUGGCUCGGCUCUCGCUCGCUCUCCCUCCCAUGGGCAAGUCCGGCUCACACCCUGCUUCUCCCGCUCACUCACAGCCCCCUUGGCUCUCCCUCCUCCUCCUCCUUCCCCUGCGGGAUCCGCUCGCCGCCGCCGCCGCCGCCGCAGACGGCAAGUCGUGGCAGCCAGACGUCGGCGCGUAACCCGGCGCUCCGUGCGUGACUCCAGGCGACGUCAGCGCGCGCUCCGCGUUCCCCACCCCUCCUCCCAACUCCGUGGCUCGCGCCCUUCGCUCUCGCGUCCCUCCGUUUUAGCUGCCGCCGCGGCGGCCGCCGAGCGCGCUCUUUCCGCCCCCUUCUCGCGCGUGAGCGCGCCCUAUCGGCUCCUGGCGCGUCAACAUUCCGCGGGCCAGGCCUUGGGGCGCGUCUGAGGAGGGGGAUGUCUGUGGCCUCUCCGCCCACACUUCCUCCACCCACCGCCCACAGCGCCCCAGAAGGACCUAUUACUCGUUUGGCUUCUGAAGGCCGAAGCCAGGCUCUGGCGGGGAUAGAACCCUGAAGGGCCUGCGCCAGCUCCAACUUAGGGCCCUUAUCUUUUGCUGCCUCUUACGUAUUGUAGGCAGUGCCUGAUGGCUGAGAAGAAUCGCAGAGGACUAGAAAAGGUUUGAGUCUGAAAUUAUCUGGCACAGAGGAUUAAAGCUCAGAAAUAAGUGAUUGCGAAACAGUUCAACUUCCCUGUUAAUGACAACAACAACAGCAACACGCUUAUUAAUUCCUAGCUGGAGCAUCAAGCUUAUGAAGAUUUCCAAGACUUUAUUGUUGACCCUUGUUGAAGAGAACUCUACUUGGCUUCUUUCCUGGCUUUCCUAAAUUGUUCACAUACAAGAUAAACUACCGUCAUUCAGACUUACAGAAGUGAGAAGACAAGCUGAACCAAAUGUAAAAUGGUAGCAAUUUACAGAUGUCAGAACUAACAUGUGGAUGAACUUAGAGAUGGAGAAGAAAGCUGGGCUUUUCCAAAGAGUGGAUCUAUCUGAACUGGAUAGCACUAUUGAACUUUGUUGCAUAUUUUGUGGUAGCUCUAAAACUCCUCUGCUUGCUUACAUACAACCAGACACCAGUGCCUUCUGAAGCUAAUCCAGGCCAUUUUUAUAACCUAAUGCAGUAGCACUUUGCAAUUAGAUGAAGAAGAUCGGUGGGAUUUCUUUCUGUGGUGAUUAAAAUGUGUCAGGGGAAGAAAUCAAGACAAUACUCCAAGUGAAAAAUAUAAAGUCAGUUAUUUCUUUAAUAUUUUGUGUUAUAGUAAUCAUUUUUAUAUUUUGAGCAUACUUUUUCUUGUCUACUUAAAUACUCAAAAUUAAUUAUAAAAUGUAAAUGUAAGCACAAUGAGAUACCAUCUCAUCCCAGUUAAAAUGGCUUUUAUCAAAAAGAUAGGGAAUAAUGAAUACUGGUGGAAGGAUGUGGAGAAUGGGGAACCCUCGUACACUGUCAAUGAGAAUGUAAAUUAGUACAGCCACUAUGGAAAACUGUAUGGAAGUGCCUCCGAAAACAAAGUAGAACUACCAUGUGAUCCAGCAAUUACACUAGUGGGUAUAUAUUCAAAAGAAAGGAAAUCAACAUAUUAAAGAGAUAGCUGCAUUCUCAUGUUUAUUGAAGUCCUGUUGAAAUAGCCAAAAUAUGGAAUCAACCUAAGUGCCCAUCAGUGGAUGAAUGGUUAAAGAAAAUGUGAUUGAUAUGCAAUGGAAUAUUAUUCAGCCAUAAAAAAGAAUGAAAUCCUGGCGGGGCACAGUGGCUCAUGCAAGUAAUCCCAGCACUGACCUCAUGAAGACAGAGAGUAGAUUGGUGGUUACCAGAGGUUGAGAAGGGGAGAGGAGAGGAGGGAUGAAGAGAGGUUGAUUGAUGGAUAGAAAUAUACAGUUUGAUAAUGAUAAAUCAGUAGGGUGACUAUAGUUUAUAAUAACCUAUUGUAUGGUUCAAAAUAGCUAAAAGAGAAUAAUUGAAAUAACGUAAGACAAAAAUUUAAGAUGAUAGAUAUCCCAAUUACACUGAUUUGAUCUUUACAAAUUAUAUGAAUGUAUUAAAUUAUUACAUGUAUCCCCAAAAUAUGUACAAGUAUUUUGUAUCAAUAAAAAAUAAAAUUUAAGAUAAAGUAAAUGUAAUGAUUAGCUUAUAUUUCCUAGAUCGGAAAUAAAUAUUUACUUAAGUA
rnacentral:lncRNA from 1 species